GUGCAUGUGAUGAGAAACUAUAUCAAACUCAUGACGGUCGUCUGAGACGCUUAGUGUGUAAUGGUGCAUUCAUAUUUUCUCUGAUGCUC
rnacentral:snoRNA from 1 species